rnacentral:tRNA from 1 species
GCUACGGACUUAAAUAAUUGGGCUUUAUUGACCGUGAGGGUUCAAGUCCCUCUACCCCCAAAAAAUAUAG